GACGAACGCUGGCGGCGUGCUUAACACAUGCAAGUCGAACGGAAAGGCCCUGCUUGCAGGGUUCUCGAUUGGCGAACGGGUGAGUAACACGUGGUUGAUCUGCCCCUUACUUUGGGAUACGCCUGGGAAACUGGGUCUAAUACUGGCUAGGACCAUGCUGUAGGUGGUGUGGUGGAAAGAUUAGUUUCGGUAAGGGAUGGGCUCGCGGCCUAGCAGCGUGUUGGUGGGGUAAUGGCCUACCAAGGCGUCGACGGGUAGCCGGCCUGAGAGGGUGGACGGCCACAUUGGGACUGAGAUACGGCCCAGACUCCUACGGGAGGCAGCAGUGGGGAAUAUUGCACAAUGGGCGCAAGCCUGAUGCAGCGACGCCGCGUGGGGGAUGACGGCCUUCGGGUUGUAAACUCCUUUCAGCCGUGACGAAGCCCUUGUGGUGACGGUAGUGGUAGAAGAAGCACCGGCUAACUACGUG
rnacentral:rRNA from 1 species